rnacentral:lncRNA from 1 species
AAGCCGCGAAGCGCGGGCGACCCGGGGGUCGGGCGGGCCAGGUCCGCGAGGCCGCGGCGGCAGCUGUGCAGGCCCGGGGAGCAGCCGGCCGGGCGAGCCUCGGAUUAAAAAAAUGGCAAACUCCUUUGCAGCGAGGAUUUUCACUACCCUUUCAGAUCUGCAGACAAAUAUGGCUAAUCUGAUAUUGGAUCAGAAAGGUACACUUUCAGCUUCACCAUUCGGGAUUCACCAGCACAUUUUGUAAAUGCAGCUUCCUGGGGCAAUGAAGAUUACAUCAAGUCUCUUUCUGACAGCUUUAGGGUUGGUGACUGUGUGAUAAUUGAAAAUCCUCUGAUCCAAAGAAAGGAAAUAGAAAGAGAAGAAAAAUUCAGCCCUGCAACUCCUAGCAACUGUAAACUGUUGCUCAGUGAGAAUCACUCAACAGUAAAAGUUUGUUCCAGUUAUGAAGUGGACACAAAGUUACUUUCUUUGAUACAUUUACCUGUUAAAGAGUCUCAUGAUUAUUAUUCACUGGGUGACAUUGUUGCAAAUGGACACAGUCUUAAUGGGAGGAUUAUUAACGUGCUUGCAGCUGUGAAAUCGGUAAGUUAAAACCCCGACAAAGC